UACAGAGGUCUCAAGCGUUGUUCGGAUUCAUUGGGCGUAAAGGGUGUGUAGGUGGCGCGCUAAGUCGGGUGUGAAAUUUCGGAGCUUAACUCCGAAACUGCAUUCGAUACUGGCGUGCUUGAGGACUGGAGAGGAGACUGGAAUUCAUGGUGUAGCAGUGAAAUGCGUAGAGAUCAUGAGGAACACCAGUGGCGAAGGCGGCCACCUGGACCGUCCCUGACGCUCAAACACGAAAGCUAGGGUAGCGAACGGG
rnacentral:rRNA from 1 species